UGGACGCAAGUCUGAUGGAGCAACGCCGCGUGAGUGAAGAAGGCUUUCGGGUCGUAAAACUCUGUUGUUGGAGAAGAAUGGUCGGCAGAGUAACUGUUGUCGGCGUGACGGUAUCCAACCAGAAAGCCACGGCUAACUACGUGCCAGCAGCCGCGGUAAUACGUAGGUGGCAAGCGUUAUCCGGAUUUAUUGGGCGUAAAGCGAGCGCAGGCGGUUUUUUAAGUCUGAUGUGAAAGCCCUCGGCUUAACCGAGGAAGUGCAUCGGAAACUGGGAAACUUGAGUGCAGAAGAGGACAGUGGAACUCCAUGUGUAGCGGUGAAAUGCGUAGAUAUAUGGAAGAACACCAGUGGCGAAGGCGGCUGUCUGGUCUGUAACUGACGCUGAGGCUCGAAAGCAUGGGUAGCGAACAGGAUUAGAUACCCUGGUAGUCCAUGCCGUAAACGAUGAAUGCUAGGUGUUGGAGGGUUUCCGCCCUUCAGUGCCGCAGCUAACGCAUUAAGCAUUCCGCCUGGGGAGUACGACCGCAAGGUUGAAACUCAAAGGAAUUGACGGGGGCCCGCACAAGCGGUGGAGCAUGUGGUUUAAUUCGAAGCAACGCGAAGAACCUUACCAGGUCUUGACAUCUUUUGAUCACCUGAGAGAUCAGGUUUCCC
rnacentral:rRNA from 2 species